ACCCCCUACACCCCCUACACCCCCCACACCCCCAGCCCUUCUCAGUCUUACCAUGCAUCCCCCCACCCCACAACCAACCCAGCUGUUAUGCCCCCUCUUUUCAGACUCUGGCCAUCAUCUCGUUGUCUUAAAGAAGGAAUCUUUGGAAUAUGAAUAUAUAUAUAUAGGAAUGCCUGUAUCUAUUAUGAAUACUGAGGCAUUCAAAUACAAAUAUUACGUUUUUAUUUUCAGGGUGUAGUAUCUCAGUAAUUGUAUUGCAUGAUACAUAAUGAACCAUGUCCCUAUUAUUUAGUAUUCUGGUAGUUGGAUUACUGCGUAGAUUGAACCCUGAGUUGGGAAUAUUCGACAGUACCUCAUGCUUGUCCAAUGUGGAUUCCAGGUAAACUAGGUCCUCCGUACCCCAUGUAUUCCAGUGGGUAUUCCAGGUAAACUAGGUCCUCAGUACCCAUGUAUUCCAGUGGGGAUUCCAGGUAAACUAGGUCCUCCGUACCCAUAUAUUCCAGUGGGGAUUCCAGGUAAACUAGGUCCUCAGUACCCAUGUAUUCCAGUGGGGAUUCCAGGUAAACUAGGUCCUCAGUACCCAUGUAUUCCAGUGGGGAUUCCAGGUAAACUAGGUCCUCAGUACCUCAUAUAUUCCAGAGGGGGUUCCAGGUAAACUAGGUCCACAUAAACCCCAUAUAUUCCAGGGGGGAUUCCAGGUAAACUAGGUCCUCCGUACCCCAUGUACUCCAGGUAAACUAGGUCCUCCGUACCCCAUGUAUUCCAGUGGGGAUUCCAGGUAAACUAGGUCCUCAGUACCCCAUGUAUUCCAGGUAAACUAGGUCCUCAGUACCCCAUGUAUUCCAGGUAAACUAGGUCCUCCGUACCCCAUGUAUUCCAGUGGGGAUUCCAGGUAAACUAGGUCCUCAGUACCCAUAUAUUCCAGUAGGGAUUCCAGGUAAACUAGGUCCUCCGUACCCCAUGUAUUCCAGUGGGGAUUCCAGGUAAACUAGGUCCUCAGUACCCCAUGUAUUCCAGGUAAACUAGGUCCUCCGUACCCCAUGUAUUCCAGUGGGGAUUCCAGGUAAACUAGGUCCUCAGUACCCAUAUAUUCCAGUAGGGAUUCCAGGUAAACUAGGUCCUCCGUACCCCAUGUAUUCCAGUGGGGAUUCCAGGUAAACUAGGUCCUCCGUACCCCAUGUAUUCCAGGUAAACUAGGUCCUCCGUACCCCAUGUAUUCCAGUGGGGAUUCCAGGUAAACUAGGUCCUCCGUACCCCAUGUAUUCCAGUGGGGAUUCCAGGUAAACUAGGUCCUCCGUACCCCAUGUAUUCCAGUGGGGAUUCCAGGUAAACUAGGUCCUCCGUACCCCAUGUAUUCCAGUGGGGAUUCCAGGUAAACUAGGUCCUCAGUACCCCAUGUAUUCCAGGUAAACUAGGUCCUCCGUACCCCAUGUAUUCCAGUGGGGAUUCCAGGUAAACUAGGUCCUCAGUACCCAUAUAUUCCAGUAGGGAUUCCAGGUAAACUAGGUCCUCCGUACCCCAUGUAUUCCAGUGGGGAUUCCAGGUAAACUAGGUCCUCCGUACCCCAUGUAUUCCAGUGGGGAUUCCAGGUAAACUAGGUCCUCAGUACCCCAUGUAUUCCAGUGGGGAUUCCAGGUAAACUAGGUCCUCCGUACCCCAUGUAUUCCAGUGGGGAUUCCAGGUAAACUAGGUCCUCAGUACCCAUAUAUUCCAGUAGGGAUUCCAGGUAAACUAGGUCCUCCGUACCCCAUGUAUUCCAGUGGGGAUUCCAGGUAAACUAGGUCCACUACAAAGAUCAAGUGGUAACAGUGUGUGACCUGGCUGAUUGUGUGUGAUCAUGGCAUAGCAGUCUGGUCAUUCAUCCACUGGUUCGCCGUAUUGCUGACUGCAGGUUGAAUCUAGGUUGAAUAUGGAGUUACCACAACAGCUGUCUGUACAAAGAAAAUGUGUCAUAUUCCUUUGAUGAUCACGAAGAAAAGAAAAGAAAUUAUGAAAUCUCAGAAUCUUAAAAUGAACCAAUUGUUCAUGGAAAACUAUCAAGAUUUGUGAACCUAUUGAUUUUACCAUGUAGCUCACUAUUUUAAUGUUUAUUUAUCAACUGUGUGUUCAGUAAACCUGUUCCUUUUUUACCAGAAUUUUGUUUCAUGUUAUUUAUUUCCUUGCAGGACUAGUUGACAUUUGUUAAUAGAAUCCAUUUAUUUAUGUCCCAUGUUUCUCAGUUUUGGCAGUGUGCACACCCUUUAGGCUACUGAAGUGUUACCCUGUCAGCUUAUGACAAUAGGUCUAGAUGACUUGGUUUUCUUGACAAAUGUUCAAACUGAAUAACUAAAACAAUUGAUUUUAAUGAUUAAAGUAUCUUAUGCAUGUAACGCAUGUUUUAUUUCAGGGAUGUAGAAUGUAUUAUUACCAAGUAUGAUAUGACUACCUGUACCUUUCUAUCCAUGUGUAUCAUGUACCAUUGGCAUGAGGCUGAAUAUACCAGCACAGAUCAUACGAAGCCAAAUUUGCAUUUCCCAUUAUUUUACCUGUCACAGUUGGGUAUGGAAAUUAAUCUCGUCCCCUGCUUCAUGAAUCUUGUUUGCUUCUGGUAUAUGUAAUGUUAAAUGGAUUUAACUUUCUUUGACUAUUGUCAUUAUUUACAAUUGUUUUGUUGUCUUGCUUUUGAAACUGUUUUUUGUAGUUGGUGUUUGAAAUUGUAUUCUGUCUCUUGAUGCUUGAUUUUCAAAUAUUUGAAUAUAUACGAUUGUUGAAUCUUGUAACCUGAUCUUGUGUUAGAGUAAUGUUGUAAAGGGAUCGAUGCUAAUGUCUGAUGUGGCAGGAUGUGAGUGUUACCAUGGCUACAGUUUUCCCUGACUUCCUG